ACUGUAGACUGGGAGAAGGAGUGAAUCCAUGAGCAGAACAUGCAAGGCGUUUCUUCAGAAAAUUGGUUGGUUGUUCCCAGACACGCGCUCGCACACACAGACUUCAGAGAGAGAGCAUACCAGUUCAGCUGUUUGUAGCAUGUCAUGAUGAUCCCCGGAGUUGAGGGCUUUGUAAAUGACAUCCGACUCUUUGAAUGCAUCUGCUUCUAUGACCACCGCAUUCCCUGCAGCUCCUGCCCAGAAUGGUCUGUACACAUUUUGAGUACUCUUCCCAGCUCCCAUCCCACCACCCAUGAGCAGGAGGACCGGACUCCUAUCUUUGUGGUCCACAGGAGCCAUCACGUCCGUACAUUCUGAAUCAUCGACCGGUGUGAUUCCAAUGGCUUUCAGUUCCUCCACCAACGUAUUGAAUACUCUUGCCACCUUCAGGUUCUUCGUUACCCUUUGAAAUCUCUGUUCCCUAUCUCAACAAACAGAAAAGCAUAAAAUAAAGUGCCAAUGUACAUUCGUUUUUCUUUUCUAAAAUGAUUGAUGGCCAACACAGGAAAAAUUUAAAUAUUUUCACUGAUAGUAUGCCUGGAAAGGUUUUUGAUUUUCAAGCCCAUAGGUUUCUCUGGUAAAGUAUCAUAAUUGAAUGAAAUACAAAGUCAAGUUGGCAUACUAAUUUUUUUUUUUUUGCCCAUAAAGGCAAGGUUAGUGUUAGAGACUUGUCGCACAUCUCUUCUUUAAGUCACCCAUAAAGUUUAUAUAGUCUAGAGACUCCUCCACUAUUGUCAAUUGAUUUUGGAUUAGAUGCCUCAAUUUUUUUUUGAAAACGGUAUCACAUUUGGAUCUUCGAUAGCUGUUUGUGCUUGCCUCUAUAAGCCACCCAAGCUUAUUAGAUGAGGGCAUUAAGUAUAUUCUAUUAAUUGUCAAUGUAAUUUUGGAUUAGAGGUUGCUCGUAUCAAUGAGGGCAUUAAGCAAUCAUUGGUAUAUAAAUGUGUUUCAUUUGUGGGCAUGGUAGCCAUUUUCAAUGACAACUAAGAACAGAGUAAAAAAACCCACCUAGUUGCUGCCAUGACAUAGUGCUUGAGCUUCUUUUUUGGCUCUGAAUCAGCCGCCAACACCUGCCAUUUUUAAUUUUUGAAAGAUACAAAUAAUGUCAAAAAUGUUAUAAUUCUUAUACACGUUCACAUAUUUGAUACAUUUUUUACAUAUUCUGAUACACUUUCUAUAUAUCCAGACCAUAACUACCGUCUAAUAGGCAAUGAUUAGCAUUUUUCUGUAAUAAUUACCUGACUAAUCAUAUGAUGUGCUUGGUUCCAAUGAAAUGCAAAGUAGCUAAGAAUGCACCUCUCAAACUCCUCCACUAGCUUUAUAUACAAAGAAUCCACAUCUGGAUCAUCUGCAAAGAACGAAUAUAUGUUGUCUUCACAAUCUUCAGAUUUCCUGAUGUAUUCAGAAGCUAACUUGCAGAGAUGUGGACAUGCUCUUCUGUCUGCAAAUCCCAUUUGCCUUGCUGCACCCAUUGAGGAGAGAGAGAUGAAAACAAGAUAGAUAGUUUAUAGAAAGGCCGAAAAGAUCCAAAUGGGUAUAGAAAAGAAAGAAAGAAAUGGAUCACAUGAUUUACCUACAUAAUGGGAGAACCUCUCGACCUUCCGGACGGGGCUGUUACCGGAGACUUUAAUCCUCGGAAGGAUCUUUUGAUCUCUUAGCUUCUUGAGAUGGUAAUGCAUUGCGGCAGCGAUGAUGAGGCCGAUGGAAGAGGCUAGGAAGAUCUGGGUGCAGGUUGGUUUGCCAUUGCUGUUGUAAUUUGGAGGAGAGACAUCCAUGUCCAUCAUGAAUGAGGAAAUGUCAAACGUACAAAGCUGUGCCCAUGAAGAAAAGUAAUACAUGUAGACAGAUUUUUAGAGCCAACGUGCAAUAGAGGCUGCCCAGUAAUACAUCUGGAGGAAUUGGUUUUUUUUUUUAUU